rnacentral:rRNA from 1 species
UGAGGAAUAUUGGUCAAUGGGCGAGAGCCUGAACCAGCCAAGUCGCGUGAAGGAAGACUGCCUUAUGGGUUGUAAACUUCUUUUAUACAGGAAUAAAAAGGCUUACGUGUAGGCCAUUGCAAGUACUGUAUGAAUAAGCAUCGGCUAACUCCGUGCCAGCAGCCGCGGUAAUACGGAGGAUGCGAGCGUUAUCCGGAUUUAUUGGGUUUAAAGGGUGCGCAGGCGGGCUUUUAAGUCAGCGGUGAAAUCUGGACGCUUAACGUCCAAACUGCCGUUGAAACUGGGAGUCUUGAGUAUGGAUGAAGUAGGCGGAAUUCGUUGUGUAGCGGUGACAUGCAUAGAUAUAACGAGGAACUCCGAUUGCGUAGGCAGCUUACUAAGCCAUAACUGACGCUCAUGCACGAAAGCGUGGGGAUCAAACAGGAUUAGAUACCCUGGUAGUCCACGCCGUAAAACGAUGAUUACUAGUUGUAUGCGAUAUGAUAGUAUGUGACUAAGCGAAAGCGAUAAGUAAUCCACCUGGGGAGUACGCCGGCAACGGUGAAACUUAAAGGAAUUGACGGGGUCAUAGCUGUUUCCU